UAGGGAAUCUUCCACAAUGGACGCAAGUCUGAUGGAGCAACGCCGCGUGAGUGAAGAAGGCUUUCGGGUCGUAAAGCUCUGUUGUUGGUGAAGAAGGAUAGAGGUAGUAACUGGCCUUUAUUUGACGGUAAUCAACCAGAAAGUCACGGCUAACUACGUGCCAGCAGCCGCGGUAAUACGUAGGUGGCAAGCGUUGUCCGGAUUUAUUGGGCGUAAAGCGAGCGCAGGCGGAAGAAUAAGUCUGAUGUGAAAGCCCUCGGCUUAACCGAGGAAUUGCAUCGGAAACUGUUUUCUUGAGUGCAGAAGAGGAGAGUAGAACUCCAUGUGUAGCGGUGGAAUGCGUAGAUAUAUGGAAGAAUACCAGUGGCGAAGGCGGCUCUCUGGUCUGCAACUGACGCUGAGGCUCGAAAGCAUGGGUAGCGAACAGGAUUAGAUACCCUUGGUAGUCCAUG
rnacentral:rRNA from 1 species